rnacentral:lncRNA from 1 species
GACCUCUGUGGCCCUGGGAGGACCUGGGGACACCGGAGACUUGUGUUACUCAGAUCCUAGUCAAGACCUCUGUUGGCUGCCAGAGUUGGACAGAAAAGAACCGUUGAGGUCUGCAAAGAAGCAGGCAGAGCCCCAGGGAUCCAGGAGGGAGCCCCCUACCACACACACCCAAAGAGUUCUAGGAAAAGAUGAGGCAAGGAAUGGAGAUAGUGAGCAGAACAAAAGACGAAAUGCUUCAAGUCACAGCCCAAGUAUGUGAAGAAAUCUGCAGUCAUCGGCAUGAAUUACUUAGGCUUCUUCUCCUCUCUCCCGAAAGCUCAAGUCAUGGCUGCAGCCAGCCAGGAAUGGAACAAGAAUCCAUGAAGUGGGUUGCAGGCAUCAGGUUCCUUGUUUGGUCUAUGCUCACCUGGGUCCAGCCUGUUGGUGAGUGUGCACUUUCCCCAUCAGAUGCUGCUUCUCUUUGCUACAUCUUCACUGUUGGCAAGUCAGGGUCUGGACCAUGGUGGCACAAAGUCCAAGGCCAACUGAACGAAGAGACUUUUAUUAACUGUGACAGUAACAACAACUGCCAUGCCACUGGCCUUCUGGGGAAUAGACUGAUGGUCACAAAACUCUGGAAAACACAAGCUGAACCUCUGAAAGAUGGAAUUCACCUGUUGAAAGCAGAACUGAUUGACAUGACUAAUAAAACCAGAGGCACAGAGCCCCUCACUCUGCAGGCCAGGAUGUGUUGUUGUUAUGAAGAUGGACAUUUCGAUGGAUUCUGGAACAUUGGCCUCAAUGGACACAAAAUAUUGCACUUUGACUUAAGCACUGGAAAAUUGACUAAAGCUGAAGGCAGCAAGAAAAGAUUGACCAGCAGCGAUGUAACAGACUUCUUUUACAUGACUUCACAUGGGGACUGCAGGUCCUGGCUUAAGGAGUUCAAGUCACACUGGGAAGAAAAGCUGGAGCCUAUAGAAUCACUGUUGCUUUUCAUCUCGCUUGAUCUUCCUUGUUCCGUGCCACCAUUCUCACGGAUCAUCCAUCCUCAUGCCUCCUCUCCUGCCAGAGGGAAGACGAUGGCCUACCAGGACCCUGCUUCAACUACCAUAGCUGUAUGGUUCUUUUGA